UCCUCUUAUGCCCCCCUCCCCUCCACGGUCUCUCCCUCUCUCUCUCUGACUUAGACUCUCGAGCGCCGGCCCCAGGAUGACAAUCACAACCAAGGCGCGCGGAUCUCUUCCAACUUUCGUCCCCUUCUAAGUCGGGGUGGAGCGGCGGUUCCGACGCAAGGCAGGCCCUGGUGGCCUGUCCGCCUGUACCGAAGCACAAAGGGAACGACGCCGCGGACUGCGCGCCAGUGAACGCUCUGCUCUCUACGCCACAGUAAAUCGCGGAGUUAGCGGAUUUCUUGUUAGCCAGGAGACUGGGCUCCAAGGCGGAUUGCUACCCACCCUCCCCUAGCUUUUCCCCCAAGCGAGGGGACCCGAGAGCGAGUUGUAGAUCCGUAAUUAGGGCCCCUAGGAGAGUCGUAUGAAUGCCAGAGUCCAGGACGCAGGAAGUCCAGGGUGGACUGUCCCCCUCCGCCAGCAGCAGCAGGUGGGCGAGAAACAGGCCUUGGACGGCUUCAGCCCGGGCUCCCUUCCACCAAUUCCCUGCCAAACAGCGAGGGUCAGACACUGGGGACCUGGUACUAAGAGGGUAGCCUUUCUCCAGAGAGGUAGUGGGCAAGAGCCGUCAGGCGGAGAAGCAGCUACACAGGAACAGGUCUCCGGACUCUACAACACCCCCUCCCACCAUGCCUCGCUGCCUCUUUCUUGGGGUUUUGCAUCAGCCGCAGCUCGCCCCGCCAGGCCGGUGGUGGUGGUGGUGGACGGUGCGGGUCCCCUUCCCUUUCGCAGGAACUCUCGCACCCGCCCACGCUCCACUGCUAACGCUCCGCGGAGCACUAACCAACCCAACCACUGUUCAGCGAGCCGCUGGCAAGGCAAACACACACACACACACACACACACACAAUUGAGUCACAGGCCGAGCCCUUGCCCACGAAGCCACACAGAAUACAAAAGAGACCCUUUGCCUGUUUCUCCACCCCGCGCCUCCACAAGCCAUAGACGCACUCGAACUCUGGGACAGACAGGCGCUGGUGAACCCGGACCGGGGCUGGCACAGUGGUGGGCACUCCGCUGAAACCCAGCAGAUCAAGGACUUUGUGGCCUUCUAUAAUGAAUGGGGUCACAGGCAAGCCGAAGUUUGACCAUACACCAAAUUUCCUACAAUGACUCUGACAGGCGAGAUUCACUUUAUUUCCUGAACUCCAGCCCCGGCACACAAACCCACUCUGCACUCUCACUUGCCCAGCUGCUCGACUCCACGCACGCGCAUUGACUCCUCCCCGUCAGCUUCCCUAGGCUCCGCCCCUCAGGCGGACGUUCUCUCACAGCCUCUCAUUCCGCCCGGCUCCGGCCCUCCCUGCCUUCACCGCUGAUUGGACGCUGGCCUCUACUGGCUCCGCCCUUCAGCGACGUGAGCCCGUUUCCUUCUGAGUCGGUGCGCCGAGGGGGCGGGGCGGGGCGGGGCGUCGGCGCCCCAUUGUCAUGGAGACGGGAAGCCGGCGCCGGUGGUGGCCCGCACAGCCCAGCGGAGGUGGCAGCGAGCCGGCCGUGACUGAGGCGAGGCCGAGCCGGGACUAUGCAGAACCGACCACUGGCUGCCUCUCAAGCAGCCAAGGGGCAGUGUCCUCCCAGGCUCAGUCUACUCCCGGGUGGUGCGGGGAGUGCCCAGGGGAGCGUCCCCGCCCUGCUCCUGUCUCUCCCGCCUCUUGCGGCCCCUCUGCUCCCCAGCGCCGCCCCCGGCUCCGCCCGCCGCCCCCGCCGCAGCCGCCACCACCGCAGCCCCUCGCGCUAACGGUCGGUAGCGGCCCGCGCGCGCCGCCAGCCGGGGGCUAGCGCCAGCCACGAGGGAGCGUCCGCGGCCUGCGCACCCGCGCCACAGCGGAGAGAGUCUACAGUUCAUAAUGGAGCAACUGCACUGGCUGUUGGAAGGAGAAGAUUCUGAAGAUAGGGAGGAACCUUCUUAUUCAAAACACCUUUCAAAGUCAAUGCAUAAAAAUAGCAGGCAGCUUCCACUUGCAGGCCUUUUGAAGCUGGAGAAGAGGUGUUUUUCAUGAGAAGAAACUGAGUCCCAGGAAGAUGAAAUGACUUGCUACAUCAGCCACAAGUACUCGCUCAGCAUGAACUGGGCACUGGGAGCUGGACAGCAUCGGCCAUAGAGUGGAGACCACAGUGGACACGGCCCUUCAUAAAUCCUGAGGCUAUGCAUUCAAGACUAUAAAUUUCUCUUUAAGCACUGCUUUCUCUCCCCCACAAAUUUUGAAUCUGGAGUUACUUCACAUUUUUCUUGCUUCUCCCUCUGCUCCAGCCCUCAAGCAGUGAGCCUUGCCCAGGCAUAUUUCUUCUUCUGUUUGUACAUUCAGAAUUGCUGACUUACGGUGCUGAAAUGCAUCUGAUAUGCACACGAGGCCUUGAACUUAAAAGAUGGAUGUCAGAAGGGCCCAGCAGCCAACUUCCAGAGCCAGAAUAUUUCUCAACAAAGAGGAAAUUUGUUGAGAGUUGGACUAAAUCUCAAGAUCCCUUUGCGUCAACAGAAGACUCUACAAAUACUAACAGACACCAAAGGAGAGGAAGGCAGGUCCAGUGCUGGGUUUUUGCAGACUUUACCAGGUAGGUGAAGGCUGCUUCUAUGGUCUAGGCCUUUUCAAGAAUUCUGUCAUCUCUCCUGUAAAAUACUCUGCUCGGCAUUGUAGCAGCUGAACAGUGGACGUUACAGUCAAGGUAUGAUUUUUAAAGUAUUUUUUAAACUGCUUUUAUUACUGUUAUAAAAGUCAUAGGGUUCACUAUAGUGAUUUGAGUUUUUAAAAUCCAGCCUCUGGCCCCAUGCCUCCCCCUCAGAAAUGUGCCAGGUGAGUCCUUCGAUGUUUGGGAUAAAGGAACGUGGGUCACAAAGGGAUGAACCUCCCCAGAAGGCUUGAUGGGCUCGAGGAUGCUCUAAGGCUUCCUUGGAGGCAGGGAGAGAAGGUGAGAACUUGGAAUGAAGACCUGAAAUGACUUGGAGAUAUUUUUGCAUAAUUUACCAUGUAGCUUUAAACUUCGUGGAAAACAUGAGUCCUCCUACCUUUAAACUUUCUCAUCUAUAAAACUUAAUCUAUUAAGGAAAAGUCCAGCAUCUAAAGGAGAGAGCUUCUCAGAACCUCCAUGUGCAAAUGAAUCACCUGGGGAUCUCGUUUGAAUGUAAAUGCUGGGGCUCGGUGGGGGGCUCGGGUAGGCCUGAGAUGCCGCAUUUCUACCCAGCUGCCUGGCCCCAGACCUCGCAGGAACCAGGCUCUAAAAUACAAAUCUCCUGAACACAUUCCCUUACUGGUAUUGUGUGUGCAUAUACGCAUGCUCUCUCUAUGUCUUUCUAGUCCUGCUUUCUAAAACAUUAAUUGAGAAGUAGGCCAUUGUUACAGAAGCCACAGCGCACGUCAUGAAAAAAACAGUGGGUACAAAGGCAAAACAUUGACAAAUUGAUACUUUCUUGCUUGGUCACGCCUGAUUUAAGGAAAUGAACCCAAAAUGGGCUGUGUGAAUUGGAAAUUGACUUCAACCACAUUUAAAUUGUUCUCCUUUAAAAUAUUAGCGCUUGAGUGUGUAAACCAAUAUUUAUUUUCUAAUCAAAGGUUUGCGGCAAAUUGUUUAUAAAUGAAAGAAAUGAGGAAAGAAUGCUUUAAAAUGUUUCUAGUAAUAGAAAUGGAAAUAGGAUAUUUUAGUUCUUUAAAUGGCAGACACAGGCCUCAACUAAAAUUCAUCCUGUUCAGGGAAGAGGAAAUCAUAUGAAAAACUGGUCAUAGUAUAAAAAAGCUCAGGCCGGCACCUCUCUGCCAGGGAUCAUGAUAAAUAUUUUUCAGUAGAAAAAAAAGUUGGAAGAUCCAGCCACAUUAAGGGAGAAUCUAUUAGCAGAAUAAUUGUAUAGAGAGGACCCCUUAAGAAAAGCUUCCAAAAUUCCAUUAUCUUAACUGUCACUCGCCACUUGGAGUUGUCUCGGCUGUGUGUUUUCAUGAAUUACCAGAGCUGUUUGUUUUUUCCUUUAUCAGUCAUCACCCUGUCAGCCGGGCCAUUCAUAACAACUUCUGGCAGCUCAUCAGAGUUCAGAGCCUGGCUAGGACCCUAUCAACCCUCACACCUCAUUGUGUGAGACUGUUUACCAGCAUUGCCUUUUUCUGUAAAUAUUACAAACAGAGCCCUGAAAGUGGAGAUGUGUGAAAACAAAAUGGACAAAUCUUGUAGCAGUUGGGCUGAGAUGGCAGCUGCGGGUGGGGGAGGGGGAGGGACCGAAAACUUCCAAGUCCUGUGUUUUCUUUAUUGGGCUGAAUACCGCCUAGUCAUCGGGCUUGAAUUCUUGUGUAUGCUGGCCAAUUAGACAGUAUUUAAUUUGCCUUAACAUUCGUGUCAGUUUGGUGAAAGUGAGACUUUGUAAUUAGGGAGUUCAGAUCGGGCCUCUGUCACAGUUCUGCUCACUUCCUCUCAUUUAAUGCCCCCCUUUUUCAGUGUAUUAUCACAUUUGAUGUGCUGAGUUCCCCCCGCUGUCUUUUAUGCUUGACUCGUGACAAGGUGGCCCACGUUACACAGCCAACAGCAAAUGGACUCAGUCUCCUGGAUUUAACGGCCUGAAGCUUCUGCCAGAUUCACCCUUCAGAAAUAGUUUCCUUUUUCAAAUGAAUGUCAACCAUUCUCUACUGAAGCUAAUAUCACCACCUUGCAAAUGGAAAUGGGAUCACAGGGCUGUGACUUGCUUCUUCCACAUACUGUGAAGCCUCUUGGAAGGGAGUCAGAGUAGAUGCACAUAGGCCGUCUGCCAUCUUUAUAUGGAGAUGAAGAUAAACAGAGCACAGAAGAUUAAGUAAUUUUUCCAAAGAUGCAGAAAUAGAAAAUGACAGAACUUGGCUUCUUAGCCACUAUAUUCUAGCUGCCUCCAACACAUGGGAAGAUAGUAGCUUUCAGGGAACAAAAUUAUUCAUCUUGAUACAGCAAGUCUUCAAUGAUGUCAAUAGGAAAACAGCCACAGCCAUGCUAAAGGCUUCAAGCACCACCGGUUUUGUCCAGAGGAGGCCAUGGUUAUUCUGGUGAAGUACAAGGCCGAGGUCAUUUUGAGCUGUCACUCUCUUGAGGGUCCGAGUCUAUGAAGCAGAGUAAGCUCAGGACCUACAGCACUGGACCUCUAGGAGGGCAACCUCACCAGCAGAUGAGGUCAUGAUGGAUGAUUCCUAAUUAUGGAGUCCUUUUCAUCUCUCAGUUUAUAUUCUGAGUUUCUACCUAGAAUAAAUUCUACUGUUUCUCAUUAA